CGAACCUGGAAUUAGCUCCAGGAUCUGAGACUCAUUUGUUAAAUUUCUUACAGUAAUAAGCAAAGGCUGUCUGUGGAUGUUAUUCCCAAUUGUUUUCACCUCCCAAGGGCUGUCUGAGACAUUUUGCCUGCAAAGCCCUUUACAAAUUAUCGUCUGCCUCUUAGGCAAGCCAUCUUUGUUAGCUCUGAGGCAUUAUUAAUUUAUUACUUAGCUUUGUGUAGUGACUUGUCUUAAAAAGGCCAGCAAUUAAUCACAUCUCCCUGCUCCAAGAGUCUUGAUUUAGCUUCCUUUCAUGUUUUUACACAUAUGCAUGAGUUUGAAAUAGGGAAAUGACCCUAAAAGAUAUGUGAAACCCCAAAUUGGUCUUUUACAAGUUUAUAAAGUGCAGCAAACCCAAUUUAAAUGGAAAUAUUUUCCUCUCAUUUGAAAAGAUUAUGGCCUAAGCUUUAUUUAUGUGGAUGCAGUUGUUCCUCAGCAGGUCUGGAAGCAUGCCCCUGAGGAAGGCAUGUCCACCAACCACUCAAGCUUAAUCAGUAAAUACGUGGAUUUUGUUUUCCAGUUCCAGCUGAGUGAUGAAAACAAACUAAACAAAAGCAUGAAAGUGAAAGUGCAGAUUGUACUCCUAUUUCUUAAGUUACAUUUUAAAUGCUAUAUCCUUCGAACUGGCUCUAGAUACAUCAAUGAUCAAUCCUGAGAUUAUUUAAAUUAGCUGAUUUUAACCCUCUGCAGACUGACUUAGCUGCUACUGCCUUGUAAUUGGCUCCAAAAAUCUGGCUGUUAGUCCACACUAUGUUCACUCACUGUGCCUGUCUCAGAUUCAUGCAGUGAGCCCAAAGGUAGGAACUUCAAUAUUUUGGCUUCACUUCUCACAGAAAUCUUGGUUGCCAGUGUUAUGGGCUGAAAUGUGUCUCCCCACAAUUCAUAUGUUGAAGCCCUAACCCCCAGUACCUCAAAAUGAGACUUUAUUCUAAGAUAGGGUCUUUACACAGGUAAUUAAGUUUGAAUAAGGUAUUUAGUGUGGUCUUUAAUCCAAUUCAACUGUUGUCCUUAUAAGAAGAGGAAAUUCAGACACAGGCAGGUACAGAGAGGAGAUGAUGUGAGAACAGGGAAAUGAUGGCCAUCUAUAAGCCAAGGAUAGAGGCCUCAGAAGAAAUCAACGCUGCUGACACCUUGAACUCAGACUUCUCGCCUCCAGAACUGUAAGAAAAUUUAUUUCUGUUGUUUAAGUCACCCAUGUGUGGUACUUUGUUAUGGAAACCCUAAGACAUCAAUACACCCAGCUUUCAUUCAGGUCUUACAUUUACUUUUAAGCAAAAGAAUAUUACAUUUGACUGUGGAGACUUAUAUAUGCUUCUGGGAUGAAGGAAUAAUCUGAGGAGAGAAUUUGGAAACCAUGGCAGACACAGAGCAAGCUCAUAACCAUCAGGUAGUCAGAUUCUUCCCAAUGACUUGGUAACUAGCUGGCUUGAAGUAAGACCCUUAAAAUAAGCUUUGCCUCUUACAGGUCAAGAGGAGACAAGUUAUGCCUGAGCUAUAAAGACUUCUUUGAAUUUCCUACUCAGAGAAACUGUGAGUCAGCAUCACGAAAAUGGGCUUCUGGUAGAAAAACUGUGGUUUGUUGAGUUGCAUGAAAAUAUAUGUGUAUCUCAAUCACUAGGUGUACCAGGAUAAUUAAUGUGAGCUAUCACAACCAACAAUCUGGAAAACUUCAGUGCCUUUACAUGGAAAAGUUUGAAGUGCCUUUGUACAAACUAUGAUGUGGUUCAGCAGGAGGUUUCCUCCAGGCAGUAACUCUGGGAUCCAGGAUCCCUCUAUCUUGUGAUGCUGCCAUCUCAACAUGGGGCUUUCAAGGUCACUGUGGCAGAGGGAGAGAGAGAGGACAUGCACCAGCUUUUAACUACCUCAGUCCAGAUGUGACACAUAGGCUUAUAGUCCAUUGGUUUCAACUAACAUCAGGGGAUUUGGGGAAGUGUAGGGGAGCACACAGAAUAUUGGCAAACUCAGAGGCUCUCUGCCAUAUUCUUGAACUCUCAUUAUGCGCUAGAUAUAGUGCUAAGAACUUCACAUAUAGUGUCUCGCUUUGUCCUAUUUUUACACAGGUAGAAACUGAGGCUUAGAGAAGUUAAAUUGAUCAAGGUCAUAGGAAUAUAAAUGCUAGAGCUCAUAUGGAGAUUCAGACAUACCUAUUUCCCGAAGUCCAUAGCCACUAGGCUUGAUGGGACAUGUUUUACUAAAAACCUCAAAGUUCUUAUCUUUAUUUUUAUUUGCCAUCUUAAUUAUUCUGAAAACUGAGGGGGAGUUAGGCAGUCCAAAUCCUGAAAUGUUUAAAAUAAUUGUCUCCACUGUCAAAAUUUUCUGGGUGAUUCAAAGAUAUAGAGACCCAGUUUAAGACUCACAGAUUUUAUAAGUGUAUCAUGUGCAGCAUUUUACUUUUAAUGUUAAAAGGUUCAUUGAGGUAGUAUUUUCAAACAGCAUGCUUUGCUUUAUUUUAAAAGGAAGAUGCUAGGACAUUUCACUCACUUUUGACUGAUUGCCCCCAGAAUGCCAAAGAAACAAAUAAUAAAGUAGGGUGGUGGUCCACAGCUUACUUGUUGAAUUUUCAUAGAUAGCCCCAGAAAAAGAGACAUUGCCCUCAAGAUAACCUGCAACUCAUAAACUAAGAAGAGCUGUGAAAUGUCGAAUGAUCAAAAAAAGUCUGAAAAAAAUACUGGAGUGGGGAAAGGUCACUGGCUCCAAACAAAUCAGACCCACCCAAACAUUGAUCAGAGCCAUGCCCUUGCCUCGUGGCUGAAGUUAAUUCUCUCUGCCCAUUUGUAAUGUGAUAAAUUAUCAUUUUUAAGUCAUUGGUCAUCUUCAAAAUAUGCUCUUUCCUCUUGGCCCAAGACCUACUCACCCAUGGGUUUUAAAUACUCAAUAACUUCAGUCACAGAGUGAUUUUACUUUUUAAAACUUAUUUUGAGGCACAUUCAUAUGGCUCAAAACACACUUCUGACCUGCAAGCCUUGCCCGUGAUUUGACCUUGUCUCCAAGAACCUUACUGGAAACAAUAGGGCAACCUCAAAUAUUCAGACUAAUUGUGUAGUGGGGGAGGAUAGAAACCAGAUGAAGUUAGUGGAAAGUCUGAGUUAUGAAAGAGUAUAAUAAAUACCAUCCUGUUUUUUUUUCCAGCUAUAUUUAAAGUCAAAGUGUUGAUAAUAAGAUGUCAAAGGAUAGGUGCUUCCAAAUAUUAGUUCUUGCAUUGGUGCCUAUUAAUGGUUUGGGGCCCUGUUUUCACUGGUUUGAAGCAAAAUGAGAAAAAGAAGAGCAAUGUGGUGAUUUGUUCAAGGGGUUAAAUUUAUUUAGCUUUUAUAUUUUGGUAUGAAUUCAUAUUUCUUUUGUUUUUUAAGUUAGUCUUCAAUAAAAUGAGGGUGAAAUACAUUUUUAAAAAUGGUUUACUUUCCAAAGUAAAAGCUUGACAACAUUGUCAAUCUCCUACAUAUAUUUAAAAUUACAUUCAUCUAUAAAAUUUAGCAAUGUUGGGCUCACUUACUUAGAGACCUACCUUUUUAGUGAAAGAGUAAUAGGUUGGUAAUUAUGUGUAUAUCAAUGUCUUUUACAAUGGAGGCAGUAGACAGUAGUGUUUAAGAGCUUGGAGAGUGGUGUUUCAUAGGCUUUGUGAUCAGCCAGCCCUCAAUUCCAACCUUGGUUGAACUGCUUACAGUGGUGAGAUCUUGGGCAAGUCAUGUGACAUCUCUAGCUCUCUCUUUCCUCAUCUGUAAAAUUGGAAUAAUAACAGCACUGUAUCUAUUACUUAUAAUUAGUAUGAGAAGCCAAUGAGAAAGCAGAUGUGAAGCAAUUAGCACGUAGUAAAUUCUCAGUGAAUGUUAACGAUUAUCAACAUUAUUAAUGAAUUAAUGGCUGCCUGCACUCUUAGCAGUUGUUUGCAUUGCCCUCUUCUUUACAUUAUAAAUUUACCAGGCAAACCCCGUCUUCUGGAAUGUUUCCAAAAUGAAUUGAUCUGGCCCUGUUAAAUGAGCCCAGUUUUUAGAAUGUGAAGUAUUGAGACUUUGGUGCCUGAUUUUCCCUUCUCCAGAAGCAGAAGGAAGAAAUCCCUCUCUGCUCCCUCCACCCCAUCUUUGACCCUAAACCAAAUGCCUUUGCUGUCAUCUUGCUGCUUUGCAGAUGUUGCUCAGGUUCUGCAGAUCCUCAGGACAACCGAAGACAAGCAGUGGCCACAGCCCUCUGGGUUCUUCCCAUAGCUACGCACAGAUUCUUGAGGGAGCUUAGAGACGUCGUUUUCCGGCCAUCAUUUUAUACAUGAGGCAGCAAAAGUCAAGACAAUUGAAGCAACAGACCCAAUCCUGCCCUCUGAAAUUGACUACUAAUAUUAUGACACGGACACACAUGGAGUGGUUUUAAGGAGCGGAGAGUUUAAUAGGCAAGAAAGAAGGAAGAAGCUCCCCCGUACAGAGACAGAGGAAGGGGUGCUUCAAGCGAAGAGAGGAAACAUGUGGGAAUUGCCAUGUUUGGAUGGACCCAGUUUCUAAAGGCCGGUAUUUGCUUUUUUUUUGGAGGUGGGGAGGGGGACGGAGUCUUGCUCUGUCACCCAGGCUGGAGUGCAGAGGCGCGAUCUCAGCUCACUGUAACCUCUGCCUCCUGGGUUCAAGCGAUUCUCGUGCCUCAGCCUCUGGAGUAGCUGGGAUUACAGCCAGGCACCACCACACCCAGCUAAUUUUUGUAUUUUUAGUAGAGACAGGGAUUCACCAUGUUGGCCAGGAUGGUUUCCAUCUCCUGACCUCGUGAUCUGCCUGCCUCAGCCUCCCAAAAUGCUGGGAUUACAGGCACCGUGCCUGGCUGGCAUUUGCAUAUUAAAGCUUGCUGGUCUGGCUUUAAGAGCCGGGCUUUUCUGUUAGACAAGAAACGUUUCUGGAGCUGCUUUAAAAGGAACAAAAACUUUCCAAGGACUCCUUUUACCCUUUUUAUUUGCCUAAAAUAAUUUUUUAUAACUUUUAUACACUAAUAUUACCUCCUUUCUUCCCUCACCUGGGAAUCAUCCCACCCCCGCUGCUUGUCGUUCGAGCCUCUUACUGCAUUUACCCCUCUCCACCUCCCAUUAUAGUUCCUUGGAAGUAUGUCACACUUUGUACCUGGCCUGGAGUCUCUGACAGUGUAACCUGUGUCUAAGUUGUCCCUGAUUUAUCCCAGCACCUAGCACAGUGAUGGCACUGAGAAGAUGUUAUUAAAUGACCACUUCCUCACUUUAUCUGUAUUAUGAAAAUGUCACCUCUGAAGUUCAUCUGAAAAGUGUAAAGCUAAUGAACAAGAUGAAGAAAUCCCUUUUUUGACAUGGUUGUCAGAAUUAACAGACUCACAUGGCCUUGGGGUUGGUGAGUAUGUUAGUACCUGAGUGUGUGGGGCUAUUUGAGACCACUCAGCGAGUCUCAGGGAUUCAGGAAGUUGCAAAGGCCCACUUAGUCCUGAUUCAACCCUACUGAGGAUGACAAUACUUACAGGAGAACAGAAGAGGGAAGCCCUGGGCAGGCGGCUGACUGCAGCUCAUCCAGCCUCGCAGAAUUUCCUUGUGAUGUCUCAUGGUCUAUUUUUUUAUCCUGAUAUUUUUACUAUUUGCUGACAGCUGGUUUUUCUAUUUGAUUUCUGUCCAUGCGCACCAGAUUGGGAUCAAAAGGAACCAAGUUUAUCCUUCACUUUCUUCCUCAUGGUCUUGAAAUGCAAGCAACCUAACCAAACCCAUGAUUUACCAAAAGUUAGUGCUGAAUAAAGUUCCACUGUCUGGAUGUACCGAAGUUUGUGUGUCCAUUCACCUGUUGAAAGACUUGGCUGCUUCCAAGUUUUGGCAAUUAUGAAUAAAGCUGCUAUAAAUGAACAUGUACAGGUUUUUUUGUGUGUAGACAUGUUUUCAACUUUUUUGGGUAAAUAAAAAUGAUUGUUUUUUGAAACAAACUUGACAGACACCAUCUCUGAUCCUCCACCAUUAUAAACAAAGCUUCAGCACAACAGCAGGAUUAAAUACUCUGAAGAGGAUUGUUCUGUGUACUGUGGAGGAGGAUACAGAGAAGAGGGAUACAGAGGAUAAGGUGUCUCUGACCUUCUUUCAUUAUAUGGAAAAGAAAGUCAACAUGUCAACUCACUGAGAAACACACCAACAUGUAAUAUGUGGCAGCAUGUACAAGAGAAAUUCUAAAAUGAAGAAGUGGAAGUUAAAAAGCUACAAAAAAAAAUUAAAACACACACAUAACAGAAGGAAAGAGUAAGAACAGGUGUGACCUACUUUGAAAGUUAACAUGUGGGACAUGGAUGGAACUGGAAGCCAUUAUCCUCAGCAAACUAACGCAGAAACUGAAAACCAAACAUAACAUGUUCUCACUCAUAAGUGGGAGCUGAACAAUGAGAAUAUAUAAACACAGGGAAGAGAGCAACACACAAUGGGGCCUGUCGGGGGAUGGGGUGGGGGGAGGGAGAGCAUCAGGAAAAAUAGCUAAUGCAUGCCGGGCUUAAUAGCUAGGCGAUGGGUUGAUAGGUGCAGCAAACCACCAUGGCACACGUUUACCAUGUAACAAACCUGUACAUCCUGCACAUGUACCCUGCAACUUAAAAUAAAAAUUAAAAUUAAAAAAAGAAACUUGGCGUCUAUUCUCAAAUACACUGAUCAACAGUGUAAAGCUAAGGAUGGUUGUCUUGGCUUCCUCUCACCCUGUCAGUGUCUCUCCCCAUCCCUCAGUGUCCUAAGUCCAGGGGGACAUACUGUCAGCCCCUGAGCAUCACUGCCAAAGAGUAGAAAUAGCCUGAUAAACCAGCUCACCUGGAGGAGUUAAUGAACCUGUAUCUAAAUGAAUGUAUUGUCCUCUGUACUAGGCUGAAUGGUGGCCCCAAAAGACAUGCUCCUGUCUUAACACCUGGAACCUAUGAAUGUUACCUUAUUAGAAAAAAAAAAAAGGUCUUUGCAGAUAUAAUUACAUUGACAGUCCUGAGAUGAUAUCAUCUUGGAUUAUCUGGAUGGCUCCUAAAUCUAAUGAUAAAUGUCCUUAUAAGAGAAAAACAGAGGCCGCGGACGGUGGUUCAUGC
rnacentral:lncRNA from 10 species